rnacentral:rRNA from 1 species
UACGUAGGGGGCUAGCGUUGUCCGGAAUCAUUGGGCGUAAAGCGCGUGUAGGCGGUUCGGUAAGUCCGCUGUGAAAGUCGGGGGCUCAACCCUCGAAUGCCGGUGGAUACUGUCGGACUAGAGUACGGAAGAGGCGAGUGGAAUUCCUGGUGUAGCGGUGAAAUGCGCAGAUAUCAGGAGGAACACCGGUGGCGAAGGCGGAUCUCUGGGCCGAUACUGACGCUGAGGAGCGAAAGCGUGGGGAGCAAACAGG